rnacentral:rRNA from 1 species
CCAGACUCCUACGGGAGGCAGCAGUGGGGGAUAUUGCACAAUGGGGGGAACCCUGAUGCAGCGACGCCGCGUGGGUGAAGGAGUGCUUCGGCAUGUAAAGCCCUAUCGGCAGGGAAGAAGCAAGACGGUACCUGACUAAGAAGCCCCGGCUAACUACGUGCCAGCAGCCGCGGGAAUAAGUAGGGGGCAAGCGUUAUCCGGAUUUACUGGGUGUAAAGGGAGCGUAGACGGCAUGGCAAGUCAGAUGUGAAAGCCCGGGGCUCAACCCCGGGACUGCAUUUGAAACUGUCAGGCUGGAGUGCAGGAGAGGUAAGUGGAAUUCCUAGUGUAGCGGUGAAAUGCGUAGAUAUUAGGAGGAACACCAGUGGCGAAGGCGGAUUGCUGGACAGUAACUGACGCUGAGGCGCGAAAGCGUGGGGAGCAAACAGGAUUAGAUACCCCAGUA